rnacentral:rRNA from 1 species
UACAGAGGGUGCGAGCGUUGUUCGGAAUUAUUGGGCGUAAAGGGCGCGUAGGCGGUGCGGUAAGUCACCUGUGAAAUCUCCUGGCUCAACUGGGAGCUUGCAGGCGAAACUGCCGUGCUGGAGUGUGGGAGAGGUGCGUGGAAUUCCUGGUGUAGCGGUGAAAUGCGCAGAUAUCGGGAGGAACACCGGUGGCGAAGGCGGUUCUCUGGGCCUGUACUGACGCUGAGGAGCGAAAGCGUGGGGAGCAAACAGG